GGAGCUUGCUCCUCUGACGUUAGCGGCGGACCGGGUGAGUAACACGUGGAUAACCUACCUAUAAGACUGGGAUAACUUCGGGAAACCGGAGCUAAUACCGGAUAAUAUAUUGAACCGCAUGGUUCAAUAGUGAAAGACGGUUUUGCUGUCACUUAUAGAUGGAUCCGCGCCGCAUUAGCUAGUUGGUAAGGUAACGGCUUACCAAGGCGACGAUGCGUAGCCGACCUGAGAGGGUGAUCGGCCACACUGGAACUGAGACACGGUCCAGACUCCUACGGGAGGCAGCAGUAGGGAAUCUUCCGCAAUGGGCGAAAGCCUGACGGAGCAACGCCGCGUGAGUGAUGAAGGUCUUCGGAUCGUAAAACUCUGUUAUUAGGGAAGAACAAAUGUGUAAGUAACUAUGCACGUCUUGACGGUACCUAAUCAGAAAGCCACGGCUAACUACGUGCCAGCAGCCGCGGUAAUACGUAGGUGGCAAGCGUUAUCCGGAAUUAUUGGGCGUAAAGCGCGCGUAGGCGGUUUUUUAAGUCUGAUGUGAAAGCCCACGGCUCAACCGUGGAGGGUCAUUGGAAACUGGAAAACUUGAGUGCAGAAGAGGAAAGUGGAAUUCCAUGUGUAGCGGUGAAAUGCGCAGAGAUAUGGAGGAACACCAGUGGCGAAGGCGACUUUCUGGUCUGUAACUGACGCUGAUGCGCGAAAGCGUGGGGAUCAAACAGGAUUAGAUACCUGGUAGUCCACGCCGUAAACGAUGAGUGCUAAGUGUUAGGGGGUUUCCGCCCCUUAGUGCUGCAGCUAACGCAUUAAGCACUCCGCCUGGGGAG
rnacentral:rRNA from 1 species